CCGGCGGUGUGCCUAAUACAUGCAAGUCGUACGCACUGGCCCAACUGAUUGAUGGUGCUUGCACCUGAUUGACGUUGGAUCACCAGUGAGUGGCGGACGGGUGAGUAACACGUAGGUAACCUGCCCCAGAGCGGGGGAUAACAUUUGGAAACAGAUGCUAAUACCGCAUAACAACAAAAGCCACAUGGCUUUUGUUUGAAAG
rnacentral:rRNA from 1 species